GCCCAUGUAGCAUAGAUGGUAAUGCACCAGUCUAAUAAGCUGGAUAUCGUAGGUUCGAGCCCUACCGUGGGCA